GAUGAACGCUGGCGGCGUGCCUAAUACAUGCAAGUCGAGCGAACGGACGAGAAGCUUGCUUCUCUGAUGUUAGCGGCGGACGGGUGAGUAACACGUGGAUAACCUACCUAUAAGGCUGGGAUAACUUCGGGAAACCGGAGCUAAUACCGGAUAAUAUUUUGAACCGCAUGGUUCAAAAGUGAAAGACGGUCUUGCUGUCACUUAUAGAUGGAUCCGCGCCGCAUUAGCUAGUUGGUAAGGUAACGGCUUACCAAGGCAACGAUGCAUAGCCGACCUGAGAGGGUGAUCGGCCACACUGGAACUGAGACACGGUCCAGACUCCUACGGGAGGCAGCAGUAGGGAAUCUUCCGCAAUGGGCGAAAGCCUGACGGAGCAACGCCGCGUGAGUGAUGAAGGUCUUCGGAUCGUAAAACUCUGUUAUUAGGGAAGAACAUAUGUGUAAGUAACUGUGCACAUCUUGACGGUACCUAAUCAGAAAGCCACGGCUAACUACGUGCCAGCAGCCGCGGUAAUACGUAGGUGGCAAGCGUUAUCCGGAAUUAUUGGGCGUAAAGCGCGCGUAGGCGGUUUUUUAAGUCUGAUGUGAAAGCCCACGGCUCAACCGUGGAGGGUCAUUGGAAACUGGAAAACUUGAGUGCAGAAGAGGAAAGUGGAAUUCCAUGUGUAGCGGUGAAAUGCGCAGAGAUAUGGAGGAACACCAGUGGCGAAGGCGACUUUCUGGUCUGUAACUGACGCUGAUGUGCGAAAGCGUGGGGAUCAAACAGGAUUAGAUACCCUGGUAGUCCACGCCGUAAACGAUGAGUGCUAAGUGUUAGGGGGUUUCCGCCCCUUAGUGCUGCAGCUAACGCAUUAAGCACUCCGCCUGGGGAGUACGACCGCAAGGUUGAAACUCAAAGGAAUUGACGGGGACCCGCACAAGCGGUGGAGCAUGUGGUUUAAUUCGAAGCAACGCGAAGAACCUUACCAAAUCUUGACAUCCUUUGACAACUCUAGAGAUAGAGCCUUCCCCUUCGGGGGACAAAGUGACAGGUGGUGCAUGGUUGUCGUCAGCUCGCGUCGUGAGAUGUUGGGUUAAGUCCCGCAACGAGCGCAACCCUUAAGCUUAGUUGCCAUCAUUAAGUUGGGCACUCUAAGUUGACUGCCGGUGACAAACCGGAGGAAGGUGGGGAUGACGUCAAAUCAUCAUGCCCCUUAUGAUUUGGGCUACACACGUGCUACAAUGGACAAUACAAAGGGCAGCGAAACCGCGAGGUCAAGCAAAUCCCAUAAAGUUGUUCUCAGUUCGGAUUGUAGUCUGCAACUCGACUACAUGAAGCUGGAAUCGCUAGUAAUCGUAGAUCAGCAUGCUACGGUGAAUACGUUCCCGGGUCU
rnacentral:rRNA from 1 species